CUCCGGUUGAUCCUGCGGGACCCGACUGCUAUCAGAGUGGGACUAAGCCAUGCGAGUCAACAUAGCAAUAUGUGGCAUACGGCUCAGUAACACGUAGUCAACAUGCCCAGGGGACGUGGAUAACCUCGGGAAACUGAGGAUAAACCGCGAUAAGUCACUACUUCUGGAAUGGGUAAUGACUCAAAUCUACAUGGCCCCUGGAUUGGACUGCGGCCGAUCAGGCUGUUGGUGAGGUAAUGGCCCACCAAACCUGUAACCGGUACGGGCUCUGAGAGGAGGAGCCCGGAGAUGGGCACUGAGACAAGGGCCCAGGCCCUAUGGGGCGCAGCAGGCGCGAAACCUCUGCAAUAGGCGAAAGCCCGACAGGGUUACUCUGAGUGAUUUCCGUUAAGGAGAUCUUUUGGCACCUCUAAAAAUGGUGCAGAAUAAGGGGUGGGCAAGUCUGGUGUCAGCCGCCGCGGUAAUACCAGCACCCCGAGUGGUCGGGACGUUUAUUGGGCCUAAAGCAUCCGUAGCCGGUUCUACAAGUCUUCCGUUAAAUCCACCUGCUUAACAGAUGGGCUGCGGAAGAUACUAUAGAGCUAGGAGGCGGGAGAGGCAAGCGGUACUCGAUGGGUAGGGGUAAAAUCCGUUGAUCCAUUGAAGACCACCAGUGGCGAAGGCGGCUUGCCAGAACGCGCUCGACGGUGAGGGAUGAAAGCUGGGGGAGCAAACCGGAUUAGAUACCCGGGUAGUCCCAGCUGUAAACGAUGCAGACUCGGUGAUGAGUUGGCUUCUUGCCAACUCAGUGCCGCAGGGAAGCCGUUAAGUUUGCCGCCUGGGGAGUACGGUCGCAAGACUGAAACUUAAAGGAAAUUGGCGGGGGAGCA
rnacentral:rRNA from 1 species